rnacentral:rRNA from 1 species
UGAUGACGAGCGGCGGACGGGUGAGUAAUGCUUGGGAACAUGCCUUGAGGUGGGGGACAACAGUUGGAAACGACUGCUAAUACCGCAUAAUGUCUACGGACCAAAGGGGGCUUCGGCUCUCGCCUUUAGAUUGGCCCAAGUGGGAUUAGCUAGUUGGUGAGGUAAUGGCUCACCAAGGCGACGAUCCCUAGCUGGUUUGAGAGGAUGAUCAGCCACACUGGGACUGAGACACGGCCCAGACUCCUACGGGAGGCAGCAGUGGGGAAUAUUGCACAAUGGGCGCAAGCCUGAUGCAGCCAUGCCGCGUGUGUGAAGAAGGCCUUCGGGUUGUAAAGCACUUUCAGUCAGGAGGAAAGGUUAGUAGUUAAUACCUGCUAGCUGUGACGUUACUGACAGAAGAAGCACCGGCUAACUCCGUGCCAGCAGCCGCGGUAAUACGGAGGGUGCGAGCGUUAAUCGGAAUUACUGGGCGUAAAGCGUACGCAGGCGGUUUGUUAAGCGAGAUGUGAAAGCCCCGGGCUCAACCUGGGAACUGCAUUUCGAACUGGCAAACUAGAGUGUGAUAGAGGGUGGUAGAAUUUCAGGUGUAGCGGUGAAAUGCGUAGAGAUCUGAAGGAAUACCGAUGGCGAAGGCAGCCACCUGGGUCAAC